rnacentral:rRNA from 1 species
GAUGAACGCUGGCGGCGUGCCUAAUACAUGCAAGUCGAGCGAACAAAUGAGGAGCUUGCUCCUCUGACGUUAACGGCUGACGGGUUAGUAACACGUGGAUAACCUACCUAUAAGACUGGGAUAACUUCGGGAACCCGGAGCUAAUACCGUAUAAUAUAUUGAACCGCAUGGUUCAAUAGUGACAGACGGUUUUUCUGUCACUUAUACAUUGACCCGUGGCGCAUUAGCUAGUUGGUAAGGUAACGGCUUACCAAGGCGACGAUGCGUAGCCGACCUGAGAGGGUGAUCGGCCACACUGGAACUGAGACACGGUCCAGACUCCUACGGGAGGCAGCAGUAGGGAAUCUUCCGCAAUGGGCGAAAGCCUGACGGAGCAACGCCGCGUGAGUGAUGAAGGUCUUCGGAUCGUAAAACUCUGUUAUUAGGGAAGAACAAUUGUGUAAGUAACUAUGCACGUCUUGACGGUACCUAAUCAGAAAGCCACGGCUAACUACGUG